AUUUAAACAAUCAAACAGACCUGCAGAUAAGAACGGGAAACGUUCUCUACGUCAGAUACACUUCCAUUUUAGCUCAUUUGGUUAUAAAUUUGAAAUGCACUUUGAAUUAUAACUUUAAUGAAUAACCCUGUUUUUUCACGAUAGAUUAAACAGAGAACAAUGGACGAGAAAGUUGUAUUUCAAGCAAAAUGCUGUAUACUACUUCCCUGUAUUAGCAGUUUGAGUCCCCAAAGAUGAAACUUUUACAGAUUGCUGUAACCAUUAUGAUAUAGAGAGGCACAUACGCUCCAAACCAACAGCACCUUCGUUUUGAGAGAGAGCAGAAAUUAUUGAAUAUCGAUACUCAUUAAAUAAGAAGAGGCUUAAGCCGUGUGAUCAAAUAAUUGCUUGAGACAGAGCAGAAGUAAAAAGGAGACCUUCCUCUUUAUGGAAAUCUGCAUGGAGCCUGUCGUAAUCCGAUACCUA